CAAAAGAAGUUUUCCACAACACUGUAUACUUAGUUCAACUACCUUACAUAGCUGGUCACUCCCUUAAAACCACCAAAUAAUGAUCAAUAUAUUGACGUUUUUUAAUUGAUAGACGUUGAACUCGUAUUUAUUUAUUCAUCCUUGACCGGUUUAAAUGAAAUCUUAGUGAAUCUGAUAUUUCAUUGAGAAGUUACUUGAAAUUACAUCUAAUGUAUAUUCCCCUAUAUUAUUGUAUGUUUAUCUAAAUAUUUUUUUUUAAUGAAAUUAUGAAGGUUUGUAGAUUUAAACUAAAUCGUUUGAAUUAAGUCUAAAACUCGUUAAAAAAUUUCCUUUAAAACAAAAAAUAUAUUAAGAAAAGGAAAAAAAGCCUAAAACAACCAAUUGUAUCUCCGCAGUCGUUGUCACAUAAUCAGAUCUUACGUAACAUUCUGAACUUUCUUUUAUAAACUCUUUUAAAGGGACUGAUGUUGUAAUUUCAAUUGUUCCUUCAUUUGAAAAAGGGCAUAACCAAUUCAGAAUGGAACCCUUUAAGACUCUUUUCUGAUCAAUGAUGUGAAAGGUGUAUUGUCAUUAUUUUGGCCUGAAAAGUUUAUAAUUCUGACAAUUUCCUGCAAUGUUUCUCAAGCAGAAAACCGAAAUUUAUUGUAUAGAGAAACCAUGAUAAAAAUAAUCAAUUUUGUAAAGUGGUGGAUAUAUCAUGCAUUUUAAAAAGGUUUAAAGGUACCAUUGGGAAUCGGACGUGCCAAAUGUUUCUUGAACGUACGUCAACAGAUUCGCAGAUGAAGAACUUUGACAUAAAACUUCAAGAUCCACAGACCUGAUGUGAAAUUCUGAAUUUCUCUGUCAAGGUCGGACAUGAAUUACAAACCCAAAAUGAAUUUCGUAGGAUUUGGAAAUUAUUUUCAUUGUAAUAUAUAAGUGUGUUGUACAAAAUUUUGGCAGUAGCAAGACGAUUUCAAGAUUUAUUUUGAUGUCGUAAGCAUUUUUUUAGAAGUAAAAUGAUAACAAAAUACCCACCAAAAUGACUAAGAAAGAUUUGUGAUAGUUGUUUAUGAAUCAGAUAUACACAUUGACAAUCAGGUUGACGGAUUAAUACCACAAAUAAUUUCAAAGAUCAUAUACGAAACUCGAAGUCGUUUUUUUACUGUCAUGUUCCGUGGGACAUUCAUAAGAUCAUUUUU